rnacentral:misc_RNA from 1 species
UUGUCAGCCGUUCUGGGA